UACAGAGGUGGCAAGCGUUGUUCGGAAUUACUGGGCGUAAAGCGUGCGCAGGCGGUUGUGCAAGACAGAUGUGAAAUCCCCGGGCUCAACCUGGGAACUGCAUUUGUGACUGCACAGCUUGAGUGCGGCAGAGGGGGAUGGAAUUCCGCGUGUAGCAGUGAAAUGCGUAGAUAUGCGGAGGAACACCGAUGGCGAAGGCAAUCCCCUGGGCCUGCACUGACGCUCAUGCACGAAAGCGUGGGGAGCAAACAGG
rnacentral:rRNA from 1 species